UUGUAUCGAAAAGAAUACAUCGGAUGAGUGCCCAAACAUUGAGAGGUAAGGACGCUUUCAAAGGAGAAAGGCCAUGGGGAGAUACUGUCCAUGAUCCAUUGAUCUCUGAUCGAGAAACGGUAUCCAAGCCCUGUGGCUAGUUCACACUCCUUGGACUUGAGAGCCUUAGCGAACUAAAACAUCUAAGUAACUAGAGGAAGAGGAAUCAACUGAGACUCUGUUAGUGGCGACGAACAAAAGCAGAUUGGGCAAAUACUUAGCAACGAAGGUUUUCAUUUCGAUCUUGGUCUCAUUUUCCUAGCCUUGCCUUCUCUACGUGAUUCAUUUCAUUUCAUUGGAUGAUGGAAGAACCAGGCAUGCAGAUGCAUUGCCCUUUGAUUUAGGCUAUAAGGUAGGCAAAAUUGUGAAUGAAAAGGUUGGAAUAUUUGACCAAAGAAGGUGGUAGCCCUAUAGAGAGUCCCACGGUUCAAUUUUGUAAGUAAAACACAGCGUGUUGAAUUAGGAUCGCUUCUAUGCGAGAAAGGGGGACCACACUCUAAGCCCAAGUAUUCCUCAAUGAAUGAUAGCGUACAAGUACAACAAGGGAAAGGUGAAAAGAACCAUAGGAAAGGGAGUGCAAUAGAAAUAAAUCCGAUGCGAAAAAUCAGUGGAAGGAGAGAAGCUUCGAGCAAGAUUCUCAAGGUCUAAUCUGAUAGGAAAGACCCUCACCUACGAUAGGUGAACCAACUUCGUUCCUCUAUUUGUUUCAAACCUCUAAGCAAAGCUCAGGGUUGGGUUGACUUGGACACAACUCACCCUAACAACAUACCUUUUGCAUAAUGGGUCAACGAGUAAAUGGGAACAACGGCUUGAGCCAUUAGGUGUAGGUUCUUUCCAACUAGGGAAUAUCCCAAUUGUAACUAUUUGACCCAAAACUGAUCAAUCUAUCCAUGAGCAAGUUGAUGAGAGCUCCAACGAGCCUUGGAGGACUGAACCCACGUAUGUGGAAAAAUACGGAGAUGACUUGUGGCUAUAAGUGAAAGGCCAACCAAGAUCGGAUAUAGUUGGUUUUCUGCGAAAUCUAUUUCAGUAGAGCGUGUGUAUAAUAUGGCCCAAGGUAGAGCACUUAAUGGGCUAGGGUAGCCCAAAGCUUGACCAACCCCAAGGAAACUCUGAUUACAUGCUUAAUCAAUCGUACAAAAAAAGUUUGGGUGCUAAGAUCCGGAGUUGAGAGGGAAACAACCCAGAUCGUACACUAAGGUCCCUAAGCAAUUGCUUAGUGGAAAAGGAAGUGAUCGAGUGAUAACAACUAGGAGGUGGGCUUGGAAGAAACCUUCCUUCGGAGAAAGCGUAAUAGCUCACUAGUUUAUCUCCAUGGCACUAAAAAUGUAUCGGUCCUCAAGUGAUUCACUGAAGCGAUGAGACCUUGUAAGCAUUAAGCAGGCUCUAAAGACCCAAGGAAGGCGAGUAAGCGAGGUGCCAACCAAGUGUCAAUAGUAGAACAUUUUGUCAAUCGAGGAAGGGACAACACCUAGAGAUAUAAAAAAUGAGAAUGUUGAAAUGAGUAACAAUGAAUCAAGUGAAAAACAUGAUCACCUACCAGUUCUAAGGCUUCUGCGCUCAAUCAAUCUACGUAGAGUGAAUCGAUCCCUAAGGAACCCCUGAAAGGGCUUUCGUCCGUUGGGUACACAAAAAAGAUGAAGUUGCCCCAACUACUGAACCAUGCGUUUCUGUUGAAGUGAAUUGGAUGAGAAUUUGAUUUUCCUAACAACCAAAUUGAAUGAAUGCAAAAGCGCACUUUCGUUAGGGUUUCAACUUCCAGGAAAAAACUUCGAAUUGGGAGGGUGAUCCUCCUGGUGAACUAACCAUACCGCAAACUGACAUGGGUGAACAAAUAGAGUAUACUAGGGCACUUGAAAGAACCAUGUUGAACGAACUCGACAAAAUGACCCCGUAAUUUCGGGAGAAGCGCUGCUCUCCCUCCUAUCUUUGGGUUGGGAAAGCCGCACAUUCCAAGAGAUAACGACUGUUUAUUAAAAACAUGACUCUGCCAAGUGGUAACACUACAUAGAGUCUAACACCUACCCGGUGCUGGAAGGUUGGAAGGAGAAGUGUGAUAAGCUUCAAAUGGAAGCCUCGGUAAAGAACGACAAUAACUCUUAAGGUAGCAAAAUUCUUUUUGCAUAAGUAACGACCUGCAUGAAUGGCGUAAUGAUUGCCCCGCUGUCUCUGACAUGGACCCAGUGAAAUUGAAUUCUCCAUGAAGAUGGAGAGUACCAGCAGCUAGAUGGUAAGGCCUACCUAAAAGACAAUGAAUAUAAUAUUCGCCUCCUUUGUAAACUCUACAAUA
rnacentral:ncRNA from 1 species